rnacentral:rRNA from 1 species
UACGUAGGGUGCAAGCGUUAUCCGGAAUUAUUGGGCGUAAAGAGCUCGUAGGCGGUUUGUCGCGUCUGCUGUGAAAACUGGAGGCUCAACCUCCAGCUUGCAGUGGGUACGGGCAAACUAGAGUGCGGUAGGGGAGAUUGGAAUUCCUGGUGUAGCGGUGAAAUGCGCAGAUAUCAGGAGGAACACCCGUGGCGAAGGCGGCACUCUGGGACGGUACUGACGCUGAGACGCGAAAGCGUGGGGAGCAAACAGG